rnacentral:rRNA from 1 species
GAUGAACGCUGACAGCAUGCUUAACACAUGCAAGUCGAAUUGAAUUUGGGUUUUUACCUUAGGUUUGGGUGGCGGACGGGUGAGUAACGCGUAAAGAACUUGCCUCACAGCUAGGGACAACAUUUGGAAACGAAUGCUAAUACCUAAUAUUAUGCUAAUAGGGCAUCCUAAAAUUAUGAAAGCUAUAAGCGCUGUGAGAGGGCUUUGCGUACCAUUAGCUAGUUGGAGAGGUAACGGCUCACCAAGGCGAUGAUGGGUAGCCGGCCUGAGAGGGUGAUCGGCCACAAGGGGACUGAGACACGGCCCUUACUCCUACGGGAGGCAGCAGUGGGGAAUAUUGGACAAGGGACCGAGAGUCUGAUCCAGCAAUUCUGUGUGCACGAUGAAGUUUUUCGGAAUGUAAAGUGCUUUCAGUUGGGAAGAAACAAAUGACGGUACCAACAGAAGAAGUGACGGCUAAAUACGUG